ACGGACGCGCGUCAACUCACAUAUCUCAUGGAUCAAUUCCUCGUCGAACCCCGCCGGUUUCCUUCCUUGCCCAGUUGCCCUGCCCAUGCCUCGUAUAUAAUGGACCGGAUCGAUCCAUCUACCGGCCGGGCGCUCCAGGCGAUCAAGAUCUCCGUCCCGGCAAUUAACUGGGAUCUCGGAACAAUGAUCAAAAUCUCAGGCCCUCCUCUGCUCGGCGCUUCUGCCAGGUAACGCAAGUGCGUCUCACCUUCUCCUGUUUUCAUUUCUCGGCGAUAAAUCUAAGUGCGAGCAAAAUACUCAAAGAUCAACCAGAAACCGUUUUGAGAGGACGGAUUGUUGGUAUGAUAUAAAUAAAAAUCCUGAAGCACUAGUAAAGCCUUAGAGAGUAUCUACACUGGUAGUAUUCUUCUUUCUUGGUGGAAAAGUACUUGCCACUGUAGAUACUCCCUAAGGCUUUAACAGGAGGUUUUGGGCCGUUGUGACUAUACUUAAUUGGAAUUGCAGUAAAAAUGUUUAGUGGAGAUGGAUUGUUUACACCUUUACGUUCGCUGCGAUGCAUACAUAGGGCUACAUUGCUGAAUCCACUUCUUUCUUUUUCUCCGGUUAUUAGUGGACUUGAAUUUUUUUUAAUCGUAUAGUUCCAAUGCGUUCGAAUAACCAGCGGCGAAAUACUGCGAGAAAGCGAUGAUGAUUGUCACUUGAAAAGACUAGCUCUAAAAUAACGUCUUCCUUGUGUGCUCAAGCCAUAGAGAAGGUAAGAAAUAUAUGUUCUAUUAUCAUAGUACCUAUAUAUACACUUUUUUUUGUUGGACUUUUGGGUGUAGUUGGGCACUUGGGCCAAGAGCAAAGCCCAAUCAACAAUAAUUUCAGAAUGAAUCUAAAAGAUCCUUUAGGUGGUGGCACUAAAGCUGAGUGGGAAUAGUCCCACUUGGAUAGAGAGUUGACCUUCUUAUGAAGGACGGUAGUCCACGCUCUCAUAAGCAAGAAAAAAAAAAAAAA
rnacentral:precursor_RNA from 1 species